rnacentral:rRNA from 1 species
ACGCACGCUGGCGGCGUGCUUAACACCUGCCAGUCGAACGGAAAGGCCCUGCUUGCAGGGUACUCGAGUGGCGAACGGGUGAGUAACACGUGGGUGAUCUGCCCUGCACUUCGGGAUAAGCUUGGGAAACUGGGUCUAAUACCGGAUAGGAGCCAUCUUUAGUGUGGUGGUUGGAAAGUUUUUUCGGUGUAGGAUGAGCUCGCGGCCUAUCAGCUUGUUGGUGGGGUAAUGGCCUACCAAGGCGGCGACGGGUAGCCGGCCUGAGAGGGUGUACGGCCACAUUGGGACUGAGAGACGGCCCAGAGUCCCACGGGGGGCAGCAGUGGGGAAUAUUGCACAAUGGGCGCAAGCCUGAGGCAGCGACGCCGCGUGGGGGAUGAAGGCCUUCGGGUUGUAAACUCCUUUCGCUAGGGACGAAGCGUUUUUGUGACGGUACCUAGAUAAGAAGCACCGGCUAACUACGUG